GAUGAACGCUGGCGGCGUGCCUAAUACAUGCAAGUCGAGCGAACAGACGAGGCGCUUGCUCCUCUGACGUUAGCGGCGGACGGGUGAGUAACACGUGGAUAACCUACCUAUAAGACUGGGAUAACUUCGGGAAACCGGCGCUAAUACCGGAUAAUAUAUUGAACCGCAUGGUUCAAUAGUGAAAGACGGUUUUGCUGUCACUUAUCGAUGGAUCCGCGCCGCAUUAGCUAGUUGGUAAGGUAACGGCUUACCAAGGCAACGAUGCGUAGCCGACCUGAGAGGGUGAUCGGCCACACUGGAACUGAGACACGGUCCAGACUCCUACGGGAGGCAGCAGUAGGGAAUCGUCCGCAAUGGGCGAAAGCCUGACGGAGCAACGCCGCGUGAGUGAUGAAGGUCUUCGGAUCGUAAAACUCUGUUAUUAGGGAAGAACAAAUGUGUAAGUAACUAUGCACGUCUUGACGGUACCUAAUCAGAAAGCCACGGCUAACUACGUG
rnacentral:rRNA from 1 species